GAUGAACGCUGGCGGCGUGCUUAACACAUGCAAGUCGAACGGAAAGGCUCCUGCUUGCAGGGGUACUCGAGUGGCGAACGGGUGAGUAACACGUGGGUGAUCUGCCCUGCACUUCGGGAUAGGCCUGGGAAACUGGGUCUAAUACCGGAUAGGACCACAUUUUGGAUGGUGUGGUGGAAAGUUUUUCGGUGUGGGAUGAGCUCGCGGCCUAUCAGCUUGUUGGUGGGGUAAUGGCCUACCAAGGCGUCGACGGGUAGCCGGCCUGAGAGGGUGUACGGCCACAUUGGGACUGAGAUACGGCCCAGACUCCUACGGGAGGCAGCAGUGGGGAAUAUUGCACAAUGGGCGCAAGCCUGAUGCAGCGACGCCGCGUGGGGGAUGACGGCCUUCGGGUUGUAAACUCCUUUCGCUAGGGACGAAGCGCAAGUGACGGUACCUAGAGAAGAAGCACCGGCUAACUACGUG
rnacentral:rRNA from 1 species